UCGAGGGGCAGCAUUUUAGUUUGCUUGCAAACUGAAGAUGGCGACCGGCGCACGGGUGAGUAACACGUAUCCAACCUGCCGAUAACUCCGGGAUAGCCUUUCGAAAGAAAGAUUAAUACCGGAUGGCAUACGAAUAUCGCAUGAUAUUUUUAUUAAAGAAUUUCGGUUAUCGAUGGGGAUGCGUUCCAUUAGUUUGUUGGCGGGGUAACGGCCCACCAAGACUACGAUGGAUAGGGGUUCUGAGAGGAAGGUCCCCCACAUUGGAACUGAGACACGGUCCAAACUCCUACGGGAGGCAGCAGUGAGGAAUAUUGGUCAAUGGGCGAGAGCCUGAACCAGCCAAGUAGCGUGAAGGAUGAAGGCUCUAUGGGUCGUAAACUUCUUUUAUAUGGGAAUAAAGUUUUCCACGUGUGGAAUUUUGUAUGUACCAUAUGAAUAAGGAUCGGCUAACUCCGUGCCAGCAGCCGCGGUAAUACGGAGGAUCCGAGCGUUAUCCGGAUUUAUUGGGUUUAAAGGGAGCGUAGGUGGAUUGUUAAGUCAGUUGUGAAAGUUUGCGGCUCAACCGUAAAAUUGCAGUUGAAACUGGCAGUCUUGAGUACAGUAGAGGUGGGCGGAAUUCGUGGUGUAGCGGUGAAAUGCUUAGAUAUCACGAAGAACUCCGAUUGCGAA
rnacentral:rRNA from 1 species